GACCCGUUAGUUCAGCCCGGUUAGAAUGCUCGACUGAUAAUCGAGUGGUCCGCAGUUCAAAUCUGCGACGGGUCA
rnacentral:tRNA from 2 species